UACGGAGGGGGCUAGCGUUGUUCGGAAUUACUGGGCGUAAAGCGCACGUAGGCGGCUUUGUAAGUUAGAGGUGAAAGCCCGGGGCUCAACUCCGGAACUGCCUUUAAGACUGCAUCGCUUGAACAUCGGAGAGGUAAGUGGAAUUCCGAGUGUAGAGGUGAAAUUCGUAGAUAUCGGGAGGAACACCAGUGGCGAAGGCGGUUGCCUGGAGCUUUGCUGACGCUGAUGCGCGAAAGCGUGGGGAGCGAUCCGG
rnacentral:rRNA from 1 species